rnacentral:rRNA from 1 species
GACGAACGCUGGCGGCGUGCCUAACACAUGCAAGUUGUGCGACGAACCGGGCUUGCCCGGGGCAAGGCAGCGAACGGGUGAGUAACACGUGAGUAACCUACCCCGAUGACCGGGACAACCCGAGGAAACUCGGGCUAAUACCGGACGGGGUUGUCACACAUAAGUUGGACCAUCAAAGGAAGCUUCGGCCUCCGCAUCGGUUUGGGCUCGCGGCCCAUUAGCUAGUUGGUGAGGUAAAGGCUCACCAAGGCUCCGAUGGGUAGCUGGUCUGAGAGGACGAUCAGCCACACUGGGACUGAGACACGGCCCAGACUCCUACGGGAGGCAGCAGUGGGGAAUCUUGCGCAAUGCGCGAAAGCGUGACGCAGCAACGCCGCGUGAGGGAAGACGGCCUUCGGGUUGUAAACCUCUUUCAGGAGGGACGAAGGUUCGCCGGCGAAUAGCCUGGCGGAUUGACGGUACCUCCACAAGAAGCCCCGGCUAACUACGUGCCAGCCGCCGCAGUAA